rnacentral:lncRNA from 1 species
GGCCUCAGGGAAGUUUUCAUAUGUAUACAUAUGUGAACAUUACCAUUUCUUCAUCUAAACCAUGGCAAAUGGUGGACUGGCAGGAAAAGAUGAAUGAGAUGGCAGAUUGGUUUUAUGGUGGGCAAGAGGAGGCCUUAUUAUUUUGAGGGUGAAGAGAGGUGCAAGUUGUGGAGAGAGGCUCAGGGGAGAGAAGAAAAGGCCCUUACAACCACAGAGCCUUGGAGGAAUUCAUUUCUCAGCUGCAGCUCAGCCCAGGCUCUUCAGUCUCCCGAAAGAUCACGUUCAGCAGACAUGCAGAGUACCAAAAAAGAGACCCAAGAGAGUUUCUCAGUUGGGCUUCGGCAUUUGCAGCCUGUACCCUGGAGGCUUCCUGCUGGGGGGGGCAAAAACCAUCUCAUUAGCCUAGGCUUUCUGCUUUCCACAUAGCACAGCAAGCAGUGAGUCUCUGCACCUGCCCGUCCUCUGGAGAAUUCAGUCCUCAGGUGCGCUCAAGAAUCCCUUUGGAGAUCUGUGCUGCUCAAAGAGGAGACAUGGGUCAAUGGCAUUAGCCUUAUCUGGGAGUUUGUUAGAAAUGCAGAAACUCAUGCCUCACCCCAGAUCUAUUCAAAGGAAUGUACAUAAUAACAAGAUCCCCAGAUAAUUUGUGUGCACCUUAAACCAUAACAAAUGCAUGCCCUGGGACAGGCACCUGCUGGCAUGUCACCCUUAUCUCAAUUGUUGGGUAGUGCUUGCAAAAAGGUGGGAGGAUGAAAGGUUAGGAAAUUGUAUGCUUAACCCGGCAUUUUCUCUGAAUUCCUUCCAUAUAGAUUUUCAAGCAUGUUUUUAGAUGUUUGUAACAAUAUGGUUUGGGAUGUACACAAUACUGAUGUUUGAAAAUAUCUGAGAUGACCGGGUGUGGUGGCUCACGCCUAUAAUCUCAGCACUUUGGGAGGCUGAGGUCAGGAGACCAGCCUGGCCAACAUGGCAAAGCCCCAUCUUUACUAAAUGCAAAAAUUAGCCGGGUAUGGUGGCAGCGCCUAUAAUCCCAGCUACUCAGGAGGCUGAGGUAGAAGCAUCCUUUGAAUUUGGGAGGCGGAAGUUGCAGUGAGCCAGGACCGCGCCACUGCACUCCAGCCUGGAUGACAGAGCAAGACUCUGUCCCAAAAGAAAACAAAUAACAACAACAAACUGAGAGACAAUUUCUACCAUCUGAUUUUACAUAUGAAUCCCAGAGGGUCUAAGAAACUUAACAAAAAUCAUACAGCUAACAAGGAGCAGAGCAAGACAUAGAAUUCCAGUCUCUCAGUUUCUUUGCUGCUUCUUUCUUUUUCCAUUUCAUUGCCUAGAUCUUAUUGGGGAAUAAUUUCUGUUGUUCCAUAAACAAAUGAACAUUAAUCUUCAAAUAUUAGCAGGACAAACCUAAAUAAGAACCAAAUUGGAAAAAACAAAAACAACAACAGUCA